rnacentral:rRNA from 1 species
UUAGAUACCCUGGUAGUCCACGCAGUAAACGAUGAAUGCUAGUUGUCCGGGGCGAUUGAGUUCUGGGUGACACAGCGAAAGCGUUAAGCAUUCCACCUGGGGAGUACGCCGGCAACGGUGAAACUCAAAGGAAUUGACGGGGGCCCGCACAAGCGGAGGAACAUGUGGUUUAAUUCGAUGAUACGCGAGGAACCUUACCCGGGCUCAAACGCAGGAGGGAUGUUUUUGAAAGGAGGCAGCCAGCAAUGGUCUCCUGCGAGGUGCUGCAUGGUUGUCGUCAGCUCGUGCCGUGAGGUGUCGGCUUAAGUGCCAUAACGAGCGCAACCCCUACCUACAGUUGCCAUCGCGUGAUGGCGGGCACUCUGUGGGGACUGCCUGCGCAAGCAGUGAGGAAGGCGGGGAUGACGUCAAAUCAGCACGGCCCUUACGUCCGGGGCGACACACGUGUUACAAUGGCAGGUACAGCGGGAAGCCACCCGGCGACGGNGCGCGGAACCCGAAAACCUGUCUCAGUUCGGAUUGGAGUCUGCAACCCGACUCCAUGAAGCUGGAUUCGCUAGUAAUCGCGCAUCAGCCACGGCGCGGUGAAUACGUUCCCGGGCCUUGUACACACCGNCCGUCAGCCAUGGAGCCCGGGGUGCCCUGAGUGCGUGACCGCAAGGACGCCCUAGGGUAAACCGUGACUGGGCCUAGUCCUACAAGGU